rnacentral:lncRNA from 1 species
UCCGGCACCACCGUCUCCGGCGACCCAUCUCCAAACCAACCCAAAACAAUACCCCUGAACCACCUCCCCUCCCUCUUUCCACCAUUAAACCACACCCUUCGAAUCGUAACGGAUCGACUCGAAUACCAAAUCAAAAUUAACCUUAAACCCUAAAACUCACCAGAACUCGGUCAAAUUGGUCCCAGAUGACCCUCCCCUAUCCCUAUUCACAACCCUACCACCCACAACCCUCAAACACAACUAGGCACAAUGAAAAAUCAAAUCUGAGACCUCACCUUGUCUCAAAAUCAACGAACCCCCCACUUUAAGCCCUUUUCCCUCUCCAUUAUGAGAGGCAAAGACCUUGGAAGGUCUAAGGACCUCAGAAGAGUUCAAAAAUCCGAAGAUUUGGAAAAACCUUUUGUUUAGGGUUGCGAUGCUAAAAGUUGUCUCCGUGUGCUUUACUCCUUGUGUGUGCUUUCCUAUUCCAUUUGAUUUUAGUCGAUAUUUUAUUCUCUUGAGCUCAUUGUUCAUUUUUGAAAUUAUAUGCCUUCUCCUGCUUGAUUGAUUGUUAUUUGUUCUCUAUCUCACUUUGAGACCUCACCUUAUCUCAAAAUCAACGAACACCUCCCCCCUUAAACCCUUUUUCCCUCUUCAUUAUGAGAGGAAAAGACCUUGGAAGGUCCAAGGACCUCAGAAUAGGUCAAGAAUCCGAAGAUUUGGAAAAACCCUAUAUUUAGGUUUGCGAUGCUAGAUGCUAAGUCUCCGUGUGCUUUACUCUUUGUGUGUGCUUUCCUAUUCCAAUUGAUUUUAGUCGAUAUUUUAUUCGCUUGAGUUCAUCUGUUCAUUUUUGAAAUUAUAUGCCUUCUCCUGCUUGAUUGAUUGUUAUUUGUUCUCUAUCUCUCUUCAUUUUCAAAACAUGCUGGAUAGUCAUUUCUGUCUAGAGGCACAUGUUCUUGAAUUUCAUUGGUUGCGUUUGUGAUUCUGAACAAUUACUAUGUGUUCAUCCUGGAUUCCUUUAAUUUCAUUUUUUAUACAUAUAGCUAUUUGUUCAUCUUCUGAAACCCUGAGUAGUUGUCCCAGUAAUCAUCUCGCCCCUUUUUCCUUUUAUUGUUGCAUGUUCAAGUUCAUCCGUUCAUGUUGUCAUUUCUAAGGUACUGUAAAUAGUGGUGUCCAUCCAGAAUUACAUGUUCAUCCUUCUUUUCUUGAUAUUCCUGAUUUUCUAAUAGUUGUUAUACAUUUGUUCUUGUCCUCCUUUGUUUUAAGCUUCUCUAUUUUUAUUUCUAUUUUUGUGUGGAAAUCUUGGUUUGGUAUUGUCAUUUAGAGUCAUUAUUCUCGCACUGUUUCUCUUUUCUACUUGAUUUUUUGAUUUUCUUAUCUUCAUUUGUUUCAUUUGUUCAUCUUUGCAAUGUCCUGAAUACUCACCUCCUUACUUGUGCUUAAGGCUGGAUUAUUUGUCUUGAAUGGCCUGGUUAACAUUUGAACUCAUAGCCC